GGGCCCGUGGUCUAGCUGGUUAUGACGUCGCCUUGACACGGCGGAGGUCUCCGGUUCGAAUCCGGACGGGCCCA
rnacentral:tRNA from 1 species